rnacentral:rRNA from 1 species
GACGAACGCUGGCGGCGUGCCUAACACAUGCAAGUCGAACGGAGUGAUGAUUUCGGUUAUCACUUAGUGGCGAACGGGUGAGUAACGCGUGAGAAACCUGCCUUUCAGUGGGGGACAACAGUUGGAAACGACUGCUAAUACCGCAUAAGCCCACACUGCCGCAUGGCAGAGUGAGAAAGGAGUAAUCCGCUUUAAGAUGGACUCGCGUCUGAUUAGAUAGUUGGUGGGGUAACGGCCCACCAAGGCGACGAUCAGUAGCCGGUCUGAGAGGAUGAACGGCCACAUUGGAACUGAGAUACGGCCCAG